AAUUGACGUAUAAUUAAUAAAUAUGGCGGAGCCUGCGCUAUCAGGAGAUAGUCUAAUUCAACUUGAAGUACGUCUUUGCCAAUAUCUGUAUGUCGGGAAAGAAUACCCAAAUUAUCAACCAGGCAAUUGGUUUUUUCACAAUUAUUAUGAAGAAGGUCGCGUUCAGUCCAUAAAAAAAAUAGCCGAAACACAGAACCCAUUGGUAGCAAUCGACUUGAUUAAAAAGGCUUUUGAAAGAAAACUGGUACAAAAUUCAGAAACUUUGAUAUUUGCACUGGCAGUAUGUGCCAGACAAACUGAGAACGAGAGUCUGCGCCACGCUGCCUACAAUGCGAUAAAAACAAUUUGUACAACACCGCAACAUUUCAUUCUGUUCGUCAAGUUUGCUUCUCAAAUAGCCAAGAGCGCACCGGAACCGAAACACGGUUGGGGUGCCGGAUGGCGAAAAGCUGUAAAUGAGUGGUACUUGUCCAAAGAUGCACUUGAUUUAGCGAAGUGUGUUACCGGAUGCAAAGGCAGAUAUGGCUGGACUCACAAGGAUAUUGUGAAAUUAUCUCAUCCCAAAACAGACGAUAUUGCAAAGAAGGCUGUUCUGAAGUACGUAUUGUUCGGGUUGAAAGAAACGAUAAAAGAUUUUGGCGAUAAACCGGAAGCUGCCGAAGUGAUUGAGUAUAUUCAAAAAAUUGAAAAUUUUAAACAUUGCGAAGAUCAAGUAUUGGCUGGCAGAUUGCUAGAACUUCAUAAUCUUACAUUGGAUCAUGUCCCUGGGCAUUUACUGAAAUCUGAAGAGGUAUGGAAUUCAUUGAUACCAACAAUGAAUAUAACCAUGCUGCUUCACAAUCUCCAAAGAAUGCACAACAUUGGAAUACUAGAACCAACUGGCGCGGCAGUCGAUAAAGUAGUUGAUGAAAUCUGCAACCAAGAGAAGCUACUCAAGGAAAAGAUUCACCCAGCUCUGGUUCUGAUCACAAUUAAGAAUUACGAAAAAUCUGGCCCAGCUUUAUCGUACGAAAAACAGAAGGCCAGAAAAGCCAAAGCAAGAUCAGUGAUUCCACCGCCAAAACCUACAAGAAAAAUUAUUGAAGCUCUUUACAAAACACUUGGAUAUUCGUUUAAUAGUCUGGCACCAACAGGUCUUCGAUAUAUGAUUACAAUAGAUAUGAGCAAAGCUAUGCAAGACAAUUCUGCAUGGCGGUGUGGAAAUCUCAGCUCAGCAGAAGCAGGAUGUCUGAUAGCACUGUGCCUUCUUCGGAGUGAGAACAAUGUAACAGUGGCAACUUUCAAAAAUAUUGGUGUUCAUAUUGUAUAUUUGAAUAAAAAUGCAUCAUUGGGACAAAUUGUGAAGAAAAUGAAGCAAAUGCCAACAGGGGAGGUUAACUUGGAAAAGCCAAUGAUUUGGGCAGCUCAAAAAAGUGAAGAAAUCGACGUAUUUAUAAACGUAGUCGACGUUGUUGACAAAAGAUGUGGGAAUGGAGCGAGAACUGACAACCCUAGGAAAGCUAUCAAAGAGUAUCGAAGCAAAAUGGAGCUAAAAAAUGCAAAAUUAGUAACCUGUGCGAUGACAACUGCACAAAUGGUACCUCAUAGCGAUGACGACAAAAACACUCUCACUAUCUGUGGAUUCGAUGAGAAUGUCCCAAAAAUUAUCGAAGCUUUUGCAAGGUCCCUGUUUUAAUUUGCAACGAUAUCCUUCUAACCUAACCUUUUCUAACAGCCACAAAUGUCUCAACACCAACCAAAGAGAAAAAAGGAAAAAUACAAUGUACAUCAGGAACAAGAGACGUACGCAAAUUGGCUAUAAUACAUCAGUGUGUUACAAGUUAUAAAAUUACAAAUCACCCUGGAGAAUGAGAAUGGCAUUUAAUCACGAGAGCUGGACAGAAACAUUUGUGGCAGAUAGCAGUAGAAUCAAGAAUUAUUUUAGAAGUGAUUCCGUGUUUUCUAUUUCGUACAAUAUGAAUGAUAAAGAGUAUCAAUAUGUGAAAAAGUUCGAAGAUAUAUCUAUGUAAAGAUUAUAAUUAAAAUGGGGAAAAAAAGAUAUUAUCUGGAAAAAGUGAAGUUGGCCAUGGUUUCAAAUGAUAUGAUAAUCGGAGUAAUUAAUGCUGCAUAGUUUAAUGAUAGAGAGACUAAAUAAUUACUACAACUGCCUAAGAUAUCUUUUACUUUAACGUAGAGUGUCGACAACCCACACAGACUGACCUUUUUGAUAAAGCUCUGAUUAUUUAUCGAUUUAUUAGCCGCAUUUAGAUCAUUUUAUGAAUAUAUUAUUCUAGAUUUAAUGUGACUCGGGUCGACACGGGAGAAAUAUAUAAAUCACGACUUAAUUACCACUAAUACGAUAAUACAAAAAAAAUUAACAAUUGUCGAGACAUUUACCAUACAUGGAAUUCGUUUCUCGAAUAGAAUUUGAAUAUCUCGUUGCUAUUAAGAGCAUCUUUAUGGGAAAAACGUCAAAGUACAUGAACACAAAUGGCUUAAUACAUAUUGGUCAUAUUGUGUUUCGCUGUAACGUCUACACCAUUCUGUGUCAUCGUGGUAUGUUUCUUUAAAAGUCGAGCAAAAAAAAAUAUCAACGGGUCCUACUAAAUUUUAUCUAUUUUAUCUAAAUUUACCAUGACAAAUUAGAAAUCUAUAAAGUUCUAACUUAGCACGUGAUUAACAGUGGUGAAAAAAAAUGGACACUCUCUAUUUAACAAAUAUAAUAGAAAAAUAAAAUAUGCGUUAUUUUGCACUGUGAAUCUUUAACACUAAGUUGAUACCACUAUUAGAUAAUGAUUUUAUGUGAUUACAAUUAAGAAUAAGGCGUGUAUUCUUUUAAGAAGAAAUUUUUUUUUUUUCUCCUUAUGCUUAAUGUCAUUCUGCAUAUCGCAUGUUGAUGCAUUUUUAUUGUUGCUUUUUUUUUUAUGAGUUCGAAACAUUUUGAUUUCAAGCUAGUAGUCAAACGCAGCAGAGUAUUUAGGCUUACGAUUGUACAGUAUGCUUGAUACGUAUAAUAAUACUCAAAAAUUAUACAUUGUAAUAAUAAUUUUGCUUCAAUUUGAUCUUGGUUUUGGCUAUGGGUUUGUGGUUUUUUGAUAUACUUUUAGUGUGUAAUAACUAGGGCCUGGAUUGAUACGUGAAUAUAUAUUUUUUACUAAAUCAUUUUUAUUUCUUAUUUGGUUUUCUACAUAAAGUAAGAUGUUUGGAGCCAGAAAAUGCAGUUUCUAUUUUUUAUAUUUUUUUUCCCCCAUAUUUUAGGUUUUUUAAGUUUAUAUUAUACGUACAUGUUUUAUAAUUUGUAAUACACAUUUACCCAGGCUCUAGUAAUAACUAUUACGAAUGCAUAAUGAAUUAGAAAUUCGCACACUCCCGGUUUACACCAGUUGAUAGAAAAUGUGAAAAAAAAGUGGAAAGAAAGAGAAUAAAUAAAGAUGAAAAAUUUUCUCUGUGAUAUGCAUUUAACCCCAAAGAGUGUAAGCUUACAAUUUUUAGUGUAAUUUUUACUGUUAUUUCAUAUUUGCCAUAUCCAAAGUAACGAGAAGUAAACACUGAAUAUCCCUUAUACUUAUAUACUGUGAUAUAAAAUCCACUGUUAUUGUUGAAACUAGAAAAAUGAAUAAAUAAAUCGGGAGUGUGCUAAGCUACACCUAAUUUGUUAAUUAGUCUUAAAUGAUAUAGUAUAAACGAUUUUAUUGAUAAUCAAUAAAAGCACGGGAUAAAGCUUUGUUCAAUAACGAAUAUUAUAUCGCUAUCAUUAUUUUUUCAACUAUCGAAUUUAAUGUAUUAACUCAUAUUUUCCUUUUUUUACUCUGAAAUUUUCUUCUCUAUAAAAUUGUCAAUGUAUAAUAUACAAUAUUUUUAGGUGAUUUUACUUUUAUUCUUCUCAUAAAAUCUGAAUUUAGGUUAAAAGUAAUAUAAUAUUCGUCAGAAGAAAACAGUAUUUUUUUAUAUUCCAAAAUUUAUGAAUUUGGUGAGAUCUAUUUAUUCACGUGCACUAAGUUACGUUGUGUUAAAAUGAGGGUCCGUGUUUACAGCAAACGUGAAAACAGCAUUAAAGAAUAAAAAAAUUGAAAAAAAAAAAUCAAUUAAUGCGAAAAAUGUGUAUGAUAAGAACGUACACUACAAAUGAUAAU
rnacentral:misc_RNA from 1 species